UACGUAGGGUGCAAGCGUUGUCCGGAAUUAUUGGGCGUAAAGAGCUCGUAGGCGGUUUGUCGCGUCUGCUGUGAAAACUGGAGGCUCAACCUCCAGCCUGCAGUGGGUACGGGCAGACUAGAGUGCGGUAGGGGAGAUUGGAAUUCCUGGUGUAGCGGUGGAAUGCGCAGAUAUCAGGAGGAACACCGGUGGCGAAGGCGGGUCUCUGGGCCGAUGACUGACGCUGAGGAGCGAAAGCGUGGGGGAGCGAACAGG
rnacentral:rRNA from 1 species